GUAAAUAUAAUUGAGCUUGAUAAAUGAAAUCUGGAUAAGUAUCUAAUCAGCAUUCUCGUAUGAUUCAUUACGUUUAUUAAAAGGAUUACGCAUCAAUUUCUGUAAGAGGAUUAUUUUAUUGAUUAAGAUAAGUUCAAGAGAUAUUACCAACGAAAAUGUUGGAUGACGGAAAAAAUUGGUCUAUGACAAAUAAAAAUCUGUGGGAGACUUUCCAAUUGAAGCUGAGUGCUCCUGAAUUGAUGUGAGAGAAGAUGAAAAAAUAUAUGGAGUUAGAACCCACCGACACUCAAUAUGUUUUUCAUGUAAUAUAUAUUUUAUUUAUCCAUUGAAUCAAUAAACAACAUAAAAUAUUAUCAAUCA